UUGUGGGCUUGUACGAAAGGAUGAACGAAGGCUUUCCUGUCUCAAAAAUACACCUAAAAAUUGGCCUCUAGGUGAAAAGACCUAGAUUUUUUUAGAGGACAAAAAGACCCCGUAGAACUUUAUAUUUUAAUAAUUAUAUUUUUAUACUCCCUAUAACAAAUACACAUUAAUAAAACAUAUUUAGCUGGGGCGGCUAUGGAGCAAAUAACCUCCACAUAAAAUAAAGAUACACAUAUCUACUUAUUUAAAUCUGAUCCUUCUUAAGAUCAAAGAAUCAAGCUACCUCGGGGAUAACAGAUUA
rnacentral:rRNA from 1 species